AUUGAACGCUGGCGGCAGGCCUAACACAUGCAAGUCGAGCGGAGCGGCGGACGCGUGAGUGAUGCCUAGGAAUCUGCCUGGUAGUGGGGGAUAACGUCCGGAAAAGGGCGCUAAUACCGCUAACUAUCCGCUGAGCCUAGGCCGGAUUAGCUAGUUGGUGGGGGAAAGGCUUACCAAGUCGACGAUCCGUAACUGGUCUGAGAGGAUGAUCAGUCACACUGGAACUGAGACACGGUCCAGACUCCUACGGGAGGCAGCAGUGGGGAAUAUUGGACAAUGGGCGAAAGCCUGAUGCAGCCAUGCCGCGUGUGUGAAGAAGGUCUUCGGAUUGUAAAGCACUUUAAGUUGGGAGGCGUUACCAACAGAAUAAGCACCGGCUAACUUCGUGCCAGCAGCCGCGGUAAUUC
rnacentral:rRNA from 1 species